AUUGAACGCUGGCGGCAGGCCUAACACAUGCAAGUCGAGCGAGCGGCGGACGUGUGAGUAAUGUCUGGGAAACUGCCUGAUGGAGGGGGAUAACUACUGGAAACGGUCGCUAAUCCCGCAUACCAUCAGAUGUGCCCAGAUGGGAUUAGCUAGUAGGUGGGGUAAUGGCUCACCUAUGCUACGAUCCCUAGCUGGUCUGAGAGGAUGACCAGCCACACUGGUACUGAGACACGGUCCAGACUCCUACGGUAGGCAGCAGUGGGGAAUAUUGCACAAUGGGCGCAAGCCUGAUGCAGCCAUGCCGCGUGUUUGAAGAAGGCCUUCGGGUUGUAAAGCACUUUCAGCGAGGAGGCGUUACUCGCAGAAGAAGCACCGGCUAACUCCGUGCCAGCAGCCGCGGUAAUUC
rnacentral:rRNA from 1 species